CAAUAAAAGCGGUGAUUAUCAUAUGUUCAAGUGCACAGUGUGGAGGAUAUCAUGAGGCCUUGAGGCAGUCAGGUGUAAAACACAAAAUAAUAUUUGAGUUUUUUUCA